rnacentral:rRNA from 1 species
GUCUAUGGCCAUACCACCCUGAAUGUGCCCGAUCUUAUCUGAUUUCAGAAGCUAAGCAGGGUCGGGCUUAGUUAGCACUUAAAUGGGAGCAAUAAAUA